rnacentral:sRNA from 1 species
ACACGGAAGGGAGGUGGUUCGGCAGAUGUAUGAAUACCGGACGCGUGAGGUGGCUGCGGGCUAGCGGCCCGUCACCACACCGAGUGCGGUGCCGGACCAGCGCGCGAGCUGAGCGCGCAGCCGGCCAAUUCCACGCAGUCACCCGACCCGCGGGCCGCCGGUACGUCCGGCCGGCUCCCUCCUCGGAGGGACCAUGGCCCGCGGGUCGUCUGCG